rnacentral:rRNA from 1 species
GGUGAGUAACGCGUGAGAAUCUGCCCUCAGGAGGGGGAUAACGGCUGGAAACGGCCGCUAAUACCCCAUAUGCCGCGAGGUGAAAUGAAUUUCGCCUGAGGAUGAGCUCGCGUCUGAUUAGCUAGUUGGUGGGGUAAGAGCCUACCAAGGCAUCGAUCAGUAGCUGGUCUGAGAGGAUGAUCAGCCACACUGGGACUGAGACACGGCCCAGACUCCUACGGGAGGCAGCAGUGGGGAAUUUUCCGCAAUGGGCGAAAGCCUGACGGAGCAACGCCGCGUGAGGGAUGAAGGCCUCUGGGCUGUAAACCUCUUUUAUCAAGGAAGAAGAUCUGACGGUACUUGAUGAAUAAGCCACGGCUAAUUCCGUGCCAG